rnacentral:rRNA from 1 species
AAAGGUAGCAUAAUCAGUUGGCUUUUAAUUAGAGUCUGGUAUGAAUGAAAAUAUGGGUGGUAGCUGUCUUAGCAUAUUAAUUUGAAUUUAUUAAGCAAGUGCAAAUACUUGCAAAUUUCAAAAAGACGAGAAGACCCUAGAAACUUAAAAUAGAUUUUGUUGGGGCGACAGAAUUACAUUUAACUAAUUUUAAGAGAUAUGACAUAUUAUUGAAAGAAUAAGUUACUCUAGGGAUAACAGCAUAAUUUUAACAGUUUGUGACCUCGAUGUUGG